rnacentral:rRNA from 1 species
AUUGAACGCUGGCGGCAGGCCUAACACAUGCAAGUCGAACGGUAACAGGAAGAAGCUUGCUUCUUUGCUGACGAGUGGCGGACGGGUGAGUAAUGUCUGGGAAACUGCCUGAUGGAGGGGGAUAACUACUGGAAACGGUAGCUAAUACCGCAUAACGUCGCAAGACCAAAGAGGGGGACCUUCGGGCCUCUUGCCAUCGGAUGUGCCCAGAUGGGAUUAGCUAGUAGGUGGGGUAACGGCUCACCUAGGCGACGAUCCCUAGCUGGUCUGAGAGGAUGACCAGCCACACUGGAACUGAGACACGGUCCAGACUCCUACGGGAGGCAGCAGUGGGGAAUAUUGCACAAUGGGCGCAAGCCUGAUGCAGCCAUGCCGCGUGUAUGAAGAAGGCCUUCGGGUUGUAAAGUACUUUCAGCGGGGAGGAAGGGAGUAAAGUUAAUACCUUUGCUCAUUGACGUUACCCGCAGAAGAAGCACCGGCUAACUCCGUGCCAGCAGCCGCGGUAAUACAGAGGGUGCAAGCGUUAAUCGGAAUUACUGGGCGUAAAGCGCACGCAGGCGGUUUGUUAAGUCAGAUGUGAAAUCCCCGGGCUCAACCUGGGAACUGCAUCUGAUACUGGCAAGCUUGAGUCUCGUAGAGGGGGGUAGAAUUCCAGGUGUAGCGGUGAAAUGCGUAGAGAUCUGGAGGAAUACCGGUGGCGAAGGCGGCCCCCUGGACGAAGACUGACGCUCAGGUGCGAAAGCGUGGGGAGCAAACAGG